UUUCCGUAGGUGAACCUGCGGAAGGAUCAUUAUUGAAUACGAUUGGCAACUGAUGCUGGCUCUUAACUGGGCAUGUGCUCGUUCCAUCUAUUUAUCUUCUCUUGUGCACAUUUUGUAGUCUUUGGGAAAGUGAACCUCUCGCAGCAAUGCGGUUUGGGGGAAUGGGUCUUGUUGCCCUUCCCCUGCUUGCUUCUUCCAAGACUAUGUUUUCAUAUACACUAUAAAGUUACAGAAUGUCUUUUAACGAUUGUGCUUGUCGCAGUCAUUAAACCUAUACAACUUUCAGCAACGGAUCUCUUGGCUCUCGCAUCGAUGAAGAACGCAGC
rnacentral:misc_RNA from 1 species